UCUAGCAGACGGCAGGUGGCGUGAUUCUCCUGUGGGAGCCGGUGGAGAUUGGCCAGGGGGAACUGGCUCUCUCGAAAAGUCCUUUCCAAUUGGAGUCCUCAGUGCCAGCUGUAGUUCAAGACUCAUUUUGUCACCACUGCUGCCAGCAGGGGGAGUCCUGCUCCCUUAAAUGCCAUCCUGCUAGAACGGCUCCAUGUCCAUGUGGAAGUGGUACCGCCACACCCUUUCCUGCUGUGGGGAGGCCAGUGGGGAGCCAGAAGGCACUUGUGUGGGAAAGGAUGCCAGGAAUGGAGACUGGCCACCACAGAGGCGAGCUUUGCAGGAAACACCUCCAUCUGGUCCUCUACUCUGCACAUGGUACAGGUAUUUGGUGUGGGGUGGGGGUGGGAGGUCAUGCAGAUUUCAAACCACAUGUUUCCAAACCCCUCAGCAGCUGCCUUUUAUCUAUUAGAUCUCCUAUCUAGGAUCCUUUUAGUGGAAAUAUUUUAAAAGUGUCCUCUUCCCCCCCACCGAGUGUGAAGUUUUUGACUUAACACUCACAACUUCUCUUUUGCUAGAUGGCCCAGAAAGCCGUUCAAUUUCCCCCUUUGUGUGGAACCAUUUGAUUUUUAACUUGUCGGUUCUCCUUGGCCACAUCUCCUAUCUUGCCUUAUCGGCUCUCCUCCCUUCUGUAAAUAGCCCUCGGAUCCCAGCUGUGUUCCCCGGCACGGGAUUGCCAAAAGGCAGGGCACACAGGCCACCACAGCAGAAAGCCAGUUGGAGCUGGGGCUUUUAGUGGAACCUGACACUUCAGUAAUAUCUUGGCUACAAAGCCCAAGAUCAGGAGCAGCUCGACACAGACAGUAGUAGUUAUUCCCCAGAUUAAACACUUGCUGUCUCUCAGGACUUGGUCAAGACUGGUUUGCACUGUAAUUUCUUGGGUACCUGUCUCUUCCCCAUUGGAGUCUAAACUCCUUCAGGGAAGAGAUUACAUCUAAUGUUUUUCUCCCAAAAAGCAAAAAACACUACAUAUUAAGUAUUCAAACGAGUUGUCUUCAGUGGGACCCCAGAUGCCUGAAAAUUUAACAGUGCGCUCACACGUCACUGACCAGAAUCUAGAAAAGGAAGACCCUACCAGCCAGGGAAGUGAGUCACUUAGGUGGCCACCGGUGCAAGAACAGACUGGAGAUCUCUUAUCGGUUCCCUGACAUGCUCUGCUCUGCCCCACCUCCAGGCCUCUUGCACACAACUGUAUGUGUCACUGGGGCGUGUUGAAAGGUGGAGUGAAGGUUGUUGCUGGUAUGUUCUGCUCCACACUUAGUAAUUCUGGCAAAGAAAUUCCAGAGCCUUCAAUGUUCCUACUGUACUCCCCAACCCCCUCCCCAGUCACUGGAGGUCUUUUCUGUUUUGGGCAUUUGCUCAAGAAUACCCUUGAAUCUUGCCUGAGGUUUGACUGAGCUCUAUUGGAAUGGCUGGUUUUAGUUGGAAUUCCACGGAGAACCUCAUAAGACUCAGUAGUCAGGGGAGAUGACCCAUGUAGUGUCUUUACUUUGCAGACCGAGACAAGCCCAGCACCUCACACACCACCACUCCUUCAGGCACUGGAUGUGCACGGCUAGUGUUUUACUCCACGGGGUUGGCCGGCUGGGCUUAAGUCAAUAUCACAACAGGUUGGAUAAAUGGGCACCAGAUGUUGGGUUGAAGGCUUACCCAGCUGUUCAUCAAAACAACUUGGUUGAUUUUAUCUCAGUUCAGAAUCUCUUCUCUCUCCAACUGAUUGCCUAAUCCCAGAGUCAAAGAUCUUAAAAUUCAAUCUUAAACAGGAGACUGAAAAGCAAACAAUUUCUCAAGAAGUUUCAAAUAUAUUUGUGGGAGUUGGGAGUGGACAAAUAUUCUUUUUUUUUUUUUUUAAUCUAGGAGGUGGUCCUUUUGAAACUUCACAUGAAAAAGAUGAGUACUCUUGGCCUUCCAAAUUUGAAGUGGCAUUUAAAUUUGAUUUCCAUUUUUCUUAAUGCCAGAGAAGCUUUGAGGCAUUUCUUAUUCAUUCUCCAGGGCUUCAUUGGGUUUUCAGCCUAUUUCAAAGAUAAUGAUGUCACUACCUACAGUGGAGUGAAGUCUUUACAAGGCAACUCAUUUGCCUAAAAUGUCUGGGAAGUCACAUCCAGACAAAGAAAUUACCAAGAGCAUUUUCUUCAGGUAUAAAAAAGUGUAGUUUAUUCACCCAGAACUUUGGUUUCUUUGAGAUGUCGAGUGUCCCAUUUUACGACUUAAAAGACUGCUUUUUAUCUGGUAAAAUCUCAUCCCAGCUGGAGUUACAGGACAUGCUGAUCUGGAGCCUUGACUGAAUUGACAGCCAUCCACACUCAGAACCGCAGUGCUUUUGGUCUCCUGCUUUGUGGACAGGGAUAAGAGGGUAACCCACAGGGUAAACCCAAGAAAAUUCACCAGAAUGUCUUGUGCUAAUAGUUUAACGAAAUUCUCCCUCCAGCACUUUCUGACAGGGCAUGGGGAUUUUCUCGUGUCAUCAGACUUCAGGAGUGAUUAUGUCAUCCAGGUGCAGGUGUUCUUGGCUAUCCUUUACCUGUUGUCUCCUCAUGUCACAUAUAGCCAAGAAAGCAGAUGACAGGUUCAUCUCUGUUACACACGGAAUUGCCAAGUGGUUGCCUAGCAACUCAGCACAAUCAACAUGGUCUCUGUUGUGGAAUGUAGAGUGGUUGGCUUUCAAGAAUGACUGUAUUUGCAUAUUUCUUUGGGGCCUCCAGAAAAAUAGGUAUGUUUUCCUGGAUUUAAGGUUAUUAAAAUGGCCUUUUGUAUUGCUUCACCCUAGUACUCAUUUUAUAAAGUGACAGUCAUCUAAUCAAACUGUUAACAUAGCAAUUGCUUCGAUUAAAUUCAAUUCAAUAAGCAUCCUCUAUAUACGGGAUACUAUACCAGAUACCAUAAAGAGUUAUAAGGAAGAACAAGUGUGGUCCCUGUCUCAGGGAACGUCUGUGUUUAGUAGAUGUGUAUAAAUCUGUUGUUUACACGUGUGAAACAGACAGCUAUGAUGUGUAUGAAAAAUAAAGGUAUUUUUAUUUGGAAGGGUUCCUUUGUGUUUGAUCAAAGGAUUUUUCACUUUUAUUUAGAUUCCUUCCUUUAUAGCUUAUAGCGACGAUCCGUUCAAAAAGCUGCAAUCAGUUCAAAAUCACUUUUAAGACCUCACUCUUAUUGGCAUCUCAGUAAUUAGCAGCUCUUACCCAGCUCGUGUUGGAUGUGACACCGCCAGUGUUGUCGGCUGGCGCGGCGCUGCCCUGCGUCUGUACCGCGGUCUUUCUGCAUAAUUGCUGCUGAGAUGCUCACAGCCUUCCCACCUCUAUUCUGCACAUUCCAGUUUAAAAGAAGCCCCUUGCCUUUCUUUGUCUACUUUGCAGCAGUGCCAUCAGCCUCUGUCCACUUAAGGAGAGACUUUAGAAUGUUCCAUAUCUUGCAUCAGGAAGUCUUUUGAUCACUCGAGCGAAGUUCUUUCCCACCGGAAAGAUGGUUGCUAGACAGAGCCUGGGGUUUGACCAGCCCCUUUCCCUUGAGUUGGUUUGCUUGGUGGAUUGGUCUCGCAUCUUCCUCAAGAAGGCACCAGGGCCUGGCGUGAAGGAACUGUUCCUGACGGCUUUGGUGCACACCCUGUGCACCCUCAUUAGCUGCCCCUCCUGAGUGGACUCCAUCUGGAAUCCACAAAGAAAAGAGGAAGCCUUUGAGGGCAGCUGGGCUGUGGCACCAGCGUUCUCCUCCACCACCUUCUGUUAGCACGCUGUGGUUUCUGUGCUCGCCUUCCCCAGAUCCAGCGUGGGACUGGUGUCUCGCUCAUCGUCUCCACCAUCUAGUUCCCUCGGAUCUUUUGCCAUUCUCAAGAAAUCACCCAGACCUCUUGUGUUCACCCAGAGCAUCUGACCUUUGCUUCCAGAUCCGAUGGCAGGCAGAAGAAAGGGGGCAGAAGGGAGAGGAGGACCAGACAAAAGGAGACACUGUAUUGAUGUUUGCCUUCUUGUUCUUGAUUUUAUCCUCAUACGUCUUCUCGUCUUCUUGGUAGCUCCUGCUGGCCCGCUCUGCAGAUGAAACUCCAGAAGUGCUAAUACCCACCGUUCUACUGAGCAUGAGCAUAUUGUCCCAAGGCAGCUCUUCACUUAUGAUCAAACCAACCAACAUUUACCAUGUGCUGUGUGUCUCCUAAGGGUCAGGGACAUGGUAAAGAAUAACACAGUUUCUACCCCUGAGCAGGUCACCAGUCGGUUCUGUUAGGUGCUAUAAUGAGGACUGGGAACAGAGACAGAAGAGCAGUGAGUUCAGGUAGAGGGUGGGAGUUCAGGAAGAGAUGUGUCUAACCCUUCAACUAGACCCGGGAGGCUGGCGGACCAGGGAGGUCUCUCUACUUACCUUUAGGAAUGGGCCAAGAGCAGAGCGUCUGUGUCCCUUUGAUGUUAGGAAAUCCUUUAUUGCUCUGAUCUAAAUUCUUUCCCCUGCAGUUUAUACCCUGUAUUGCCUCUCAUUCCAAUGUCAGUUGAAAUAGCAAAAAUCAUUGCCUAGUAACCUAGUCAGUCAGAAGCCUUUAGUAAAUCAUCUCUGGUACUCUACCUUAACACAGGACAAAACCUAUUUUCCUCCUACCCCAAACCCUGCAGCUUGACUUCUCCAGCUGCUGCCCCGGGGAAGAGUUUCUGAGAGGUGCCCCCCUAUUAGGGUGCUUCCUGGAAAGGUGGGGGGAGACAGGGCAAUCAGCUAUGGAGAUGCGUGCCCCAAAUAAUUGCACUUGGAAGAGUCUGCACUGUAAGCAUGUUUCAGGGCAUCUUCACUAAAGACAGAAUUUUUGAGGUUGAAUGACAUAGUAGAAGAAUAAAGUCCAGUGUUUACAACAUCCCACUACCAGCCUUCACCAGCCUGUGGGUUGUCAUAUUGACAUCCAGACGUAAAUUUCCUUAGUUCUGAGCCCUCUUGAAGGCCUAUAGAACUUUCUCCUGGUCCCCUCCUCCUACUAACUCACCUUCAGUGAUUUGAUGCCCCUGAGGGAUCUGGUUCAUGGCAGAUCCAAGAUGCUCUCCCAUUGCAACCUCCCCAUUGGUGGUCUACUCUUCACAACCCCUUACAAAAGGGUACCUCAUCAGCAUGUGUGUCUCCUGUGAGAACAGUGUUUUUAUAAUGGUCACUUGUGCUGGGCACAGCCUCUCCCAAGUCACCUGCUGGGGACAGCCUUCUCUCCCAAGUCACCAACUUGCACAAGUGGAGGGCAGGAUGGAACACUGGGGAACAAAUGACCUUCUUGCUGAUUGGCUGUACUUUGUUACCUGUGUCCCAAAGCAAAACUGUUUGUAUGUUCAGUUGCUCAAAGUCUUAACUUGAUUACUCCUCUUUCAUCCAACCUCAUCUCUCACUGGGGCUAGAAAGGAAUCUCUCAGGCCAACAUGGCCAAGAUGGGGGUUGACAGUUCAUCAGUUCCUUCCUUGCUCUUUCUCCACAGGGAGCUCCUCACCCAAACUAACCAACUCACACAAAACAAAACAAAACAAAACAAAACAAAACAAAACAAAACAAA